rnacentral:rRNA from 1 species
GACGAACGCUGGCGGCGUGCUUAACACAUGCAAGUCGAGCGGUAAGGCCUCUUCGGGGGUACGCGAGCGGCGAACGGGUGAGUAACACGUGGGUGACCUGCCCUCAGCUCUGGGAUAAGCCUGGGAAACUGGGCCUAAUACCGGAUAUGACCUUUCCUCGCAUGGGGUUUGGUGGAAAGUUUUUUCGGCUGGGGAUGGGCCCGCGGCCUAUCAGCUUGUUGGUGGGGUGAUGGCCUACCAAGGCGACGACGGGUAGCCGGCCUGAGAGGGCGACCGGCCACACUGGGACUGAGACACGGCCCAGACUCCUACGGGAGGCAGCAGUGGGGAAUAUUGCGCAAUGGGCGGAAGCCUGACGCAGCGACGCCGCGUGGGGGAUGACGGCCUUCGGGUUGUAAACCUCUUUCGACCCCGACGAAUUUGGACGGUAGGGGUAGAAGAAGCACCGGCCAACUACGUG